AUUGAACGCUGGCGGCAGGCCUAACACAUGCAAGUCGAGCGAGAAAGCCCUUCGGGGUGAGUAGAGCGGCGGACGGGUGAGUAACGCGUAGGAAUCUACCUGGUAGUGGGGGACAACUCGGGGAAACUCGAGCUAAUACCGCAUACGCCCUUCGGGGGAAAGCGGGGGAUCUUCGGACCUCGCGCUAUUGGAUGUGCCUGCGUCGGAUUAGCUUGUUGGUGAGGUAAAGGCUCACCAAGGCGACGAUCCGUAGCUGGUCUGAGAGGAUGAUCAGCCACACCGGGACUGAGACACGGCCCGGACUCCUACGGGAGUCAGCAGUGGGGAAUAUUGCGCAAUGGGGGAAACCCUGACGCAGCCAUGCCGCGUGUGUGAAGAAGGCCUUAGGGUUGUAAAGCACUUUCAAUAGGGAGAAAAGGCCCACGGCUAAUACCCGUGGGAGUUGAUGUUACCUAUAGGAGAAGCACCGGCUAACUCCGUGCCAGCAGCCGCGGUAAUACGGAGGGUGCGAGCGUUAAUCGGAAUUACUGGGCGUAAAGCGCGCGUAGGCGGCCUGUUAAGUCAGCUGUGAAAGCCCCGGGCUCAACCUGGGAAUUGCAGUUGAUACUGUCAGGC
rnacentral:rRNA from 1 species